CACCGCGGUUAGACGAGAGGCCCUAGUUGAUAAUAUAACGGCGUAAAGGGUGGUUAAGGAUAAAAAACAAUAAAGCCAAAUGGCCCUUCGGCCGUCAUACGCUUCUAGGAGCCCGAAGCCCUACACACGAAAGUAGCUUUAAUAAAACCAACCUGACCCCACGAAAACUAAGAAA
rnacentral:rRNA from 1 species